rnacentral:lncRNA from 1 species
AUGGGCGGCCGCUCCAUGUUCAGAUGGAGCAGCAAAGCCGGGCUCGGCCGGGGCAGCGCCACAAAGGCGGCUCAGAGCAGCUCCUGCUUCCCGCAGCCCCAUUCACAGUCUGCCCAAUUCGUGUUUAUUCAUGGGUACCGCAGCACUCGGGCUGUGGGAGACGACUCACUUAGCGCUGAGCUCUCACUAAUUGGCUAUCAGCUCAGCGGUCCUCUCUUUGUGUCAGAGCAAAGCAUGGGAAUCGCACCACGCGCGACGCCCGCAUGGCAGCACACACCGAGCUCGGGAGUCGUCACACAGACAGAUGUGCCACAGCCCUUUGCACCACCUCUCUCAGCUUUCCGCUUCGGAGUCGCAGCCUACAAGGAAGGAAUCAGCAGAGGGAGGAAUGGGGAGGAAGAUGCAGGAGUGCCGUGCCCCUCUGCUGCACUGUGGGCUGCCCGUGGGCACACGGCCGCGCUGCACACGGGACACGGCCCACAGCUGCACACGCGUGGCACAGCCCCGCACACGCGUGCACCCCCGGCCCUGAGACAGAAGGCACUGAAAAAGGAAUUGAGAUUUGCAGAUCUGAUAAUGAGCCAGUUAAUGACAUAAAUGAUACCUCAAGAACCUCACUAAACCAUCCAGGUCCUACAAUUUAAUCUGUAAUAAAUACUCCUGCAUCAUUGCGAGAUGGCUGCUC